AAUCAUGUGGUCUAGUGGUUAGGGCGAGAGACUACGAAUAUAAAGGUCUGGUGUUCAAACCUCAGUAAGGAUG
rnacentral:tRNA from 1 species